ensembl:snRNA U1 U1 spliceosomal RNA
AUACCUACCUGGCAGGAGAGAUACCAUGAUCAUGAAGAUGGUUUUCCCAGUUGAGGCUUAUUUAUUGCACUCCAAAUGUGCUGACCCCUGUGAUUUCCCAAAUGUGAGAAACUUGACUACAUGAUUUGUGGUAGUGGGAGACUGGGUUUGUGCUCUCCCCUG